UGCAGCUCAGAACACAGGUGAAGUGGCUUUUCUCCCGAUGCCGUUGCAGCUCAGAACACAGGUGAAGUGGCUUUUCUCCCGAUGCCGUUGCAGCUCAGAACACAGGUGAAGUGGCUUUUCUCCCGAUGCCGUUGCAGCUCAGAACACAGGUGAAGUGGCUUUUCUCCCGAUGACGUUGCAGCUCAGAACACAGGUGAAGUGGCUUUUCUCCCGAUGACGUUGCAGCUCAGAACACAGGUGAAGAGCCUUUUCUCCCGAUGCCGUGCAGCUCAGAACACAGGUGAAGUGGCUUUUCUCCCGAUGCCGUUGCAGCUCAGAACACAGGUGAAGUGGCUUUUCUCCCGAUGACGUUGCAGCUCAGAACACAGGUGAAGUGCCUUUUCUCCCGAUGCCGUUGCAGCUCAGAACACAGGUGAAGUGCCUUUUCUCCCGA